AUUUAAAGACAUUAAUUGACAUUCGUUUGACCUUUCAAGGUCACUCAAGGUCAAAGGUCAUGGCAGCAAAUGAAAGCCAAUAUGUGACUUCCUAUCUAUUGCCAACAGUAAUAAUAUCAAUAUUUUCAACUGUUUUAAAGUUAUAGCCCUUUGAAAUGUGUCCCAUUAUAAACAAAUGGGGAUUUUUGAAAUGUCAAAAAUUCA